UUAUGGCUGCUGCCGGCGUAAUUGUCGACUCGGCUGAAAUACACGAGCUACCCAUUUCUAAGAAAUAGACGGUUUGACUCGGCGUAAUAACAUAUUUCGCUGAGGACGUCACAUUCUUUAAACAUUAGUGGUGCUUCUAAUGCGACAUCUAAACCUAAGCUUUAGACCUCAAAUCAGUCAGGACUACCCGCUGAACUUAA
rnacentral:misc_RNA from 1 species